rnacentral:rRNA from 1 species
CCUACGUGUGGCUGCAGUGAGGAAUAUUGGUCAAUGGGCGAGAGCCUGAACCAGCCAAGUCGCGUGAAGGACGACGGUUCUAUGGAUUGUAAACUUCUUUUGUAGAGGCAUAAUGGCAGCUACGAGUAGCUGCGAUGCAUGUACUCUACGAAUAAGUAUCGGCUAACUCCGUGCCAGCAGCCGCGGUAAUACGGAGGAUACGAGCGUUAUCCGGAAUUAUUGGGUUUAAAGGGUGCGUAGGUGGCGUAUUAAGUCAGUGGUGAAAAGCUGCAGCUCAACUGUAGUCUUGCCGUUGAAACUGAUAUGCUAGAGAGGAGACGAGGUAUGCGGAAUGUGUGGUGUAGCGGUGAAAUGCAUAGAUAUCACACAGAACGCCGAGUGCGAAGGCAGCGUACCAGGCUCCGUCUGACACUGAAGCACGAAAGCGUGGGGAUCAAACAGGAUUAGAUACCCGGGUAGUC